CAGCAGCCACGGGAAUACGUAGGUGGCAAGCGUUGUCCGGAAUUAUUGGGCGUAAAGGGCUCGUAGGCGGUUUCUUAAGUCUGAUGUGAAAGCCCCCGGCUCAACCGGGGAGGGUCAUUGGAAACUGGGAAACUUGAGUGCAGAAGAGGAGAGUGGAAUUCCACGUGUAGCGGUGAAAUGCGUAGAGAUGUGGAGGAACACCAGUGGCGAAGGCGACUCUCUGGUCUGUAACUGACGCUGAGGAGCGAAAGCGUGGGGAGCGAACAGGAUUAGAUACCCCUGUAGUCCCUGUCUCUUAUAC
rnacentral:rRNA from 1 species